rnacentral:rRNA from 1 species
GAUGAACGCUGGCGGCGUGCCUAAUACAUGCAAGUCGAGCGAACGGACGAGAAGCUUGCUUCUCUGAUGUUAGCGGCGGACGGGUGAGUAACACGUGGAUAACCUACCUAUAAGACUGGGAUAACUUCGGGAAACCGGAGCUAAUACCGGAUAAUAUUUUGAACCGCAUGGUUCAAAAGUAAAAGACGGUCUUGCUGUCACUUAUAGAUGGAUCCGCGCUGCAUUAGCUAGUUGGUAAGGUAACGGCUUACCAAGGCAACGAUGCAUAGCCGACCUGAGAGGGUGAUCGGCCACACUGGAACUGAGACACGGUCCAGACUCCUACGGGAGGCAGCAGUAGGGAAUCUUCCGCAAUGGGCGAAAGCCUGACGGAGCAACGCCGCGUGAGUGAUGAAGGUCUUCGGAUCGUGAAACUCUGUUAUUAGGGAAGAAUAUAUGUGUAAGUAACUGUGCACAUCUUGACGGUACCUAAUCAGAAAGCCACGGCUAACUACGUGCCAGCAGCCGCGGUAAUACGUAUGUGGCAAGCGUUAUCCGGAAUUAUUGGGCGUAAAGCGCGCGUAGGCGGUUUUUUAAGUCUGAUGUGAAAGCCCACGGCUCAACCGUGGAGGGUCAUUGGAAACUGGAAAACUUGAGUGCAGAAGAGGAAAGUGGAAUUCCAUGUGUAGCGGUGAAAUGCGCAGAGAUAUGGAGGAACACCAGUGGCGAAGGCGACUUUCUGGUCUGUAACUGACGCUGAUGUGCGAAAGCGUGGGGAUCAAACAGGAUUAGAUACCCUGGUAGUCCACGCCGUAAACGAUGAGUGCUAAGUGUUAGGGGGUUUCCGCCCCUUAGUGCUGCAGCUAACGCAUUAAGCACUCCGCCUGGGGAGUACGACCGCAAGGUUGAAACUCAAAGGAAUUGACGGGGACCCGCACAAGCGGUGGAGCAUGUGGUUUAAUUCGAAGCAACGCGAAGAACCUUACCAAAUCUUGACAUCCUUUGACAACUCUAGAGAUAGAGCCUUCCCCUUCGGGGGACAAAGUGACAGGUGGUGCAUGGUUGUCGUCAGCUCGUGUCGUGAGAUGUUGGGUUAAGUCCCGCAACGAGCGCAACCCUUAAGCUUAGUUGCCAUCAUUAAGUUGGGCACUCUAAGUUGACUGCCGGUGACAAACCGGAGGAAGGUGGGGAUGACGUCAAAUCAUCAUGCCCCUUAUGAUCUGGGCUACACACGUGCUACAAUGGACAAUACAAAGGGCAGCGAAACCGCGAGGUCAAGCAAAUCCCAUAAAGUUGUUCUCAGUUCGGAUUGUAGUCUGCAACUCGACUACAUGAAGCUGGAAUCGCUAGUAAUCGUAGAUCAGCAUGCUACGGUGAAUACGUUCCCGGGUCU